GGAAGUGUGGUUGGACCCAGCUGUUCUCGACGUGUGGGCGUCUUCCGGGCGUCGUUUAGAGACGCCUGAGGUUGAGCCCGGCUCCAGAAUGUUAAUGCUACUGCAGCAGAUGUAAUGCCGCGUGUGGUCGGUCUCGGUUCUGUGUCGGAAAGCGGUGCUUAGCAGUCACCCCAAAGGUUAUCCGCUUAACGCAACAAGCAGGUUCGCUAGGCUGGGGAUUUGCCGAUGGCCUGACUCGGUGUUUCUGCUUGAAGAAAAGUGAAACCCUCAUUCUGUCUCUACCGGAGAACGUCAGUUGGCCUCAGCCUGGGGAGCUGCCCUCAAACCCAAGCCUCUUCCUGAUCCUUGAGCUCUUGGUCAUGGCCACUCCUCCAGAUGACUCCAGUGCUGGAGUGAAACUGUGGUUUGAGAACCA
rnacentral:lncRNA from 1 species